AGAGUUUGAUCAUGGCUCAGAACGAACGCUGGCGGCGUGCUUAACACAUGCAAGUCGCGUGCGCAGUUUCCGUAGCAAUACGGGGAUGGGCGCACGGCGCACGGGUGCGUAACACGUGGGCAAUCUGCCCUCCGAUGGGGAAUACCCCCGCGAAAGCGGGACUAAUUCCGCAUAACAUUCCUUGGAUUAAGUUUCGAGGAUUCAAAGCAGCAAUGCGUCGGAGGAGGAGCCCGCGCCCGAUUAGCUAGUUGGUGAGGUAACGGCUCACCAAGGCAAUGAUCGGUAGCUGGUCUGAGAGGAUGGCCAGCCACACUGGAACUGAGACACGGUCCAGACUCCUACGGGAGGCAGCAGUGGGGAAUCUUGCACAAUGGGCGAAAGCCUGAUGCAGCGACGCCGCGUGGGGGAUGAAGCUUUUCGGAGUGUAAACCCCUUUCGACUGGGACGAAUGCCUCGCAAGAGGAGUGACGGUACCAGUAUAAGAAGCCCCGGCUAACUACGUGCCAGCAGCCGCGGUAAGACGUAGGGGGCCAGCGUUGUUCGGAAUUACUGGGUGUAAAGGGUUCGUAGGCGGUGUGGCAAGUCGGGAGUGAAAUCUCUGGGCUCAACCCAGAGACUGCUUCCGAAACUGCUGUGCUUGAGUGUGAGAGAGGCUCGUGGAAUUGCAGGUGUAGCGGUGAAAUGCGUAGAUAUCUGCAGGAACACCCGUGGCGAAAGCGGCGAGCUGGAUCACUACUGACGCUGAGGAACGAAAGCUAGGGGAGCAAACAGGAUUAGAUACCCUGGUAGUCC
rnacentral:rRNA from 1 species